AAGCCUACCCUCUUGGAUUUCGCGUGUCUGUCGCAACUAUGACUUAUCGCGUCUUGUCGAACGAAAACAGAAGCGAAAUCAAUUUUUCUCCGCACUCGGGAACAGUGAAAGAUUUAUUUCGUUUUUAAGAGGAGAGCGGGCUGUCGCUUUGCUAACAAGAACAAUACUAAUGAAAGCAGUCAUUUUUGUCCUUGUGCUGGUGGGGUGCAUCGUGCUGUCCACGCAGUGGUCUCCUAACCAAUGUUUCUACAAUGGACAAACUUACCAACCUGAAGAGACGACGACCAUGAAUGGAGUUACAUACGUAUGUAAAGGAUAUGAUAGAUGGGAACCUAUUAUCGGACAACCACCAGGAAAUGCACCCGCCCCUCCACCGCCACCACCGGGAUAUAAAUAAAUGCAUUGUAUUUACCGUCUGGAAGAUUAACUAUACCAUCAUUCAUUCGGCCUUUGACAUUAAGACAUAGCCUGACUGAGACAUUGAGCAAUUCUGAUACUUGCUGCACAAGAAAGAUGGAGGAGGAGGAGGGGGGGGGCGCUUAUACAAUAUUUUGAAAUGAACUUUUUGUCCUGAACAGGAUUAUCCUCCCCCCCCCCCCUCCCCUAGACCCGACAGAAGAAUGAUAGUAGGCGGUGGAUUAAAGGAUAUGCUUCACAAAUCAGCGGGUCUAAGUUAUAAGAUUGGUGUAAUUUUGAAAUUAAAUAAACUGUUUUGAGUUAAUUUCUUUUCAGCAGCUGCUUUGACAUAAACGCAAAUAAAAGAAUUCAUGU